rnacentral:rRNA from 1 species
UACAGAGGUCUCAAGCGUUGUUCGGAUUCAUUGGGCGUAAAGGGUGCGUAGGCGGCGCGGUAAGUCGGGUAUGAAAUCUCGGAGCUUAACUCCGAAACUGCAUUCGAUACUGCCGUGCUUGAGGACUGGAGAGGAGACUGGAAUUUACGGUGUAGCGGUGAAAUGCGUAGAUAUCGUUAGGAAGACCAGUGGCGAAGGCGGGUCUCUGGACAGUUCCUGACGCUGAGGCACGAAGGUCAGGGGAGCAAACGGG